UACGUAGGGCGCAAGCGUUGUCCGGAAUUAUUGGGCGUAAAGCGCACGUAGGCGGAUUGGUCAGUUAGGGGUGAAAUCCUGGAGCUCAACUCCAGAACUGCCUUUAAUACUGCCAGUCUCGAGUCCGGAAGAGGUAAGUGGAACUCCUAGUGUAGAGGUGGAAUUCGUAGAUAUUAGGAAGAACACCAGUGGCGAAGGCGGCUUACUGGUCCGGUACUGACGCUGAGGUGCGAAAGCGUGGGGAGCAAACAGG
rnacentral:rRNA from 1 species